rnacentral:rRNA from 1 species
UACGAAGGGGGCUAGCGUUGUUCGGAAUUACUGGGCGUAAAGCGCGCGCAGGCGGCUAUCCAAGUCAGUGGUGAAAGCCCGGAGCUCAACUCCGGAACUGCCAUUGAAACUGUUUAGCUGGAGUAUGAGAGAGGUGAGUGGAAUUCCCAGUGUAGAGGUGAAAUUCGUAGAUAUUGGGAAGAACACCGGUGGCGAAGGCGGCGACCUGGUCCUUGACUGACGCUGAGGCGCGAAAGCGUGGGGAGCAAACAGG